AUUGAACGCUAGCGGCAGGCUUAACACAUGCAAGUCGAGGGGUAGAGGAAGCUUGCUUCCUUGAGACCGGCGCACGGGUGCGUAACGCGUAUACAAUCUACCUUUUACAGAGGGAUAGCCCCAGAGAAAAUUUGGAUUAAUACCUCAUAGUAUUUUCGGAUCGCAUGAUUUGAUUAUUAAAGUUCCAACGGUAAAGAUGAGUAUGCGUCCCAUUAGCUAGAUGGUAAGGUAACGGNUUACCAUGGCAAUG
rnacentral:rRNA from 1 species